AUGCGCGCGAGCGGCGGCGCGAGCCCACGACCCGCACCACCGAAGCGCUCCGCCACUCCGACCACCACCAAACUACCAGUACCCGCCUCCUCCUCCCUCGCCAUGCCGGCACCUCGCCUCGCCCACCUCCGCCGCCUACUCUCGCUCCACUCUCCGCCUCCCCACCCGCUCGCCCCUAGCCCUGCCCGCCCCCUCCGCCCAUCCUUCAUCCUCCCCCGCGCCAUGGCCGGCGCCGCACAGGCAGGUGCGGCGACGGGGUCGGCGGAGUACGAGGAGGUGCUGGGGUGCCUGGCGUCGCUGAUCAAGCAGAAGGUGCGCGCGGACACCGGCAACCGCGGCAACCAGUGGGAGCUCAUGGCCAAGUACCUGCAGAUACUGGAGCUGGAGGAGCCCAUCGCGCGGCUGAAGGUGGUUCACGUCGCCGGGACCAAAGGGAAGGGUUCAACAUGCACAUUUGCCGAGUCAAUUCUUCGAUCAUGUGGUUUCCGCACUGGACUUUUCACCUCUCCACACUUGAUCGAUGUCCGUGAGCGGUUUCGGCUUGAUGGGCUGGACAUUUCAGAAGAAAAGUUCAUUAGGUAUUUCUGGUGGUGCUGGAACAAAUUGAAGGUCAAAACUGGUGAUGAUAUUCCAAUGCCAGCCUACUUUAGGUUCCUUGCGCUGCUAGCAUUCAAGAUUUUUUCAGAUGAGCAGGUGGAUGUAGCUGUGCUGGAGGUCGGUUUGGGAGGGAAAUAUGAUGCAACAAAUGUGGUAAAAGCACCUGUAGUUUGUGGGAUAUCUUCCCUCGGAUACGAUCACAUGGAAAUUCUUGGAAAUUCACUUGUAGAAAUUGCUGGGGAGAAGGCUGGAAUAUUGAAGAAGGGAGUUCCAGCCUAUACAGUUCCACAACCAGAGGUGGCAAUGUCUGUACUGAAGCAGAGAGCUUCUGAAUUGGGUGUUUCUAUCCGAAUAGUUCCACCUUUGGACCCACGGCAAUUAGAAGAUCAACCUCUUGGGCUGCAUGGUGAGCACCAGUACAUGAAUGCAGGCCUUGCAGUUGCAUUGGCUAAUACCUGGCUUGAGAGGCAAGGACAUUUGGACAGAAUACAUGUCAAAGAUCAUCAUGGAGUGCAGGGCACCUUACCAGAUCAGUUCAUCAAAGGGCUAUCAAUUGCUUGUUUGCAAGGCCGAGCACAGAUUGUCCCAGAUCUACAAGUGAGCUCAGAAUGUAAGGACACCAGUUGUCCCUUAGUUUUCUAUUUGGACGGGGCACAUAGCCCAGAAAGUAUGGAAAUAUGCGCAAAGUGGUUUUCCCAUGUUACGAAAAAGGAUGCAGCACAACCAGGUCCUUUGGAGCAGCCUCGUAGUGGUAUCAAUUCUAAGAAGAUUCUCCUGUUCAAUUGCAUGUCAGUAAGAGAUCCUCAGAUAUUGCUUCCACGUCUUCUAGAUACAUGUGCUCAGAAAGGCCUCUGCUUUGACCAGGCCUUAUUUGUGCCAAACCAAUCGCAAUAUAACAAGCUUGGUUCGCAUGCAUCACCACCUCCAGGGAGAGAGCAAAUUGAUUUGUCAUGGCAGUUGUCGCUCCAAACAGUCUGGGAAGACUUGCUUCGCGGCAAGAAAGGUCUAAAUGGCACAAGUUCUAGCGGGGCUAGUUUAGUUUUUGAAUCUCUUCCAUCAGCAAUUAAGUGGCUAAGGGAAACUUCUCAACAAAACCAAUCUACUUCAUGCCAGGUCUUGGUUACUGGCUCCCUUCAUCUCGUUGGUGAUGUCUUAAGAUUGAUUAAGACCUGA
rnacentral:rRNA from 1 species